rnacentral:pre_miRNA from 1 species
UGCCCUAUCCGUCAGGAACUGUGUGUGAUUCCCACAGUGUCUGUGGAUACGGCCCAUC